GCAGUAUAUUCCACCAUCAAACAGCUCUUACUAUCUGGAAGUUCUUUCUAAUGUUUAAGCGGAAUCUCUUUUUCUAUCAUUUGCUUCAUAUCCAGAGGCGGUCCAACCAUAAGGCGAACUAGGCACUCGCCUGUGGCGCCAUCGCCCCGGGGGCACCAUCAUCCUGGGAGGAGGGCGCCACUCUCUGCCUCCUUCUCCUUCGGACCUCCCGGUGCCCACGCUGGGCCUUCCAGCCGGCGCAGGACCGCCUUCGCACCACGUGAGCCCACCUUUGGGACCUUCAGAGAUUGAUUGUUCUGCAUUACGUGGCUUUCUGGCAAGAACACCUGCUAUCUGAAAAGUGAA
rnacentral:lncRNA from 11 species